rnacentral:lncRNA from 1 species
CUUACACAGAUGCGGGUGGGCUGGGCAGUCAAGGUCUGGGAGAGGACCAGAGGAAGGCACCAACAGCCUGAAGCACGGGAACAGGGGGGCAGCUAUGGUUCUGGCCAAGAAGAUGCAGUGGGAAGCAUGCUUGGAGCUUUCGGAGAGAGUUUUCCUCCAAGGUUAAAGGACAGGGGUGUGAGAAGGAACAUCUUUCAUCUUUUCCAACCUAUGCUCAUCCUUCUACCUGAGAUGUUUCCAUGUGAGGAUGUGAUAUUUGCAGCUGCAGAGGCCAUCCUGUGACCACGAGAAAAAAGGCUGAAAGAACCAUAGACACUGAUCAGACUGUCGAACCAUUCUGGAACAGGCCCCCUCCAGAUGUCUUGUUAAAAGAGAGAUCUAAAAUGUCUUCCUUACUUUCAGGUAUUCAAUUACUUGCACCUGCAUCAAUUAGAAUUAGAUUUGACUGUGAUUAAUAGAAAGCCCCAAAAUAACAGUAGCUUUUGCAAGAUAGAGGCUCAUUUCUCUUUCAUGUAUAAGAAGUCUGAAGAUAAGCAGCUCAGAGUGACAGGGGCAGCUUUAAAGUCAUCAGAGAACCAAGCAUCUUUUGUCUCACUGCCCUGCCAUUCUUAGCAUGUGACUUCCACUCACAUGGCUCAAAGAGGGCUGCCCAGGCUCCAGGCAUCACAUUUGCUUUCCAGAUAGCAGGGAGGAGGAGAGGUGGAAGAAAUAUCCCCCUCUUCUUUUAAGAACACCUCCCAGAAACUCUUCUGUCUAUAUCCCAUUGACUAGAAUUUAGCGACAUGACCACAUCUGGCGGUAAGGGAGGCUGGG